rnacentral:rRNA from 1 species
GAUGAACGCUGGCGGCGUGCCUAAUACAUGCAAGUCGAGCGAACAGACGAGGAGCUUGCUCCUCUGACGUUAGCGGCGGACGGGUGAGUAACACGUGGAUAACCUACCUAUAAGACUGGGAUAACUUCGGGAAACCGGAGCUAAUACCGGAUAAUAUAUUGAACCGCAUGGUUCAAUAGUGAAAUACGGUUUUUCUGUCACUUAUAGAUGGAUCCGCGCCGCAUUAGCUAGUUGGUAAGGUAACGGCUUACCAAGGCUACGAUGCGUAGCCGACCUGAGGGGGUGAUCGGCCACCCUGGAAGUGAGACACGGUCCAGACUCCUACGGGAGGCAGCAGUAGGGAAUCUUCCGCAAUGGGGGAAAGCCUGACGGAGCAACGCCGCGUGAGUGAUGAAGGUCUUCGGCUCGUAAAACUCUGUUAUUAGUGAAGAACAAAUGUGUAAGUAACUAUGCACGUAUUGACGGUACCGGAUCAGAAAGCCACGGCUAACUACGUG